rnacentral:lncRNA from 1 species
GUAAGUGUUAGGAACUGAACCCAGGUUCUUUGUAAGAACAAGCGCUCUUAACCUCUGGGCCAUCUCUCCAGGCCUCUUAAAUACACUUAAAAAAAAGAUUUAUUUAUUUAUUUAUUUAUUUAUUUAUUUAUUUAUUUAUUUAUUUAUUUAAUGUAUGUGAGUACACUGUAACUGUACAGAUGGUUGUGAGCCUUCAUGUGGUUGUUGGGAAUUGAAUUUUUAGGACCUUUGCUUGCUCUGGUCGGCCCUGCUCUCUCAGUUCCUGCUUGCCCAAAGAUUUAUUUAUUAUUAUAGAUAAGUACAUUAUAGCUGACUUCAGAUGCACCAGAAGAGGACCUUAGAUCUCAUAUGAAUGGUUGUGAGCCACCAUAUGGUUUCUGGGAUUUGAACUCAGGACCUUUGGAAGAGCAGUCAGUGCUCUUACCCUCUGAGCCAUCUCGCUAUCCCCUUAAAUACACUUUUAACUGAAGAGUAAAUACACACAGAAAAUGCUCCAAUCCUGCCACCUCUCCUGUGUGAACGGAACAAUACCUCCAGCCCAAGGCUCCUGUGUGCUCCGCCAGUCCCAUCCCAAGGGCAGCCACUGUCUCGGCCUCUGCCACCACAGAUGAGUUUCAUCUAUUUUUGAACUUUGUCAAUGGAAUCUUGUAGUACAGGCUAUUUUUAUGUCUGGCUUCUGUUCACUCGUGUUGUGGAGGAUAGAACACUUUGCCCAGCCUCUUGCUGUACUGUGUUCUAUGACUGUCACUGCUAGGGAACGAGGACUGCCUGUGUUUAAUAUUGGAGGUGACUGCUGAACAUGUGUCACUGGUUUUACAUGGGGGGGCUCACUGCUUUUAUGAUAACCUGAAACUUCAGGUGAUAUCGCUAGAAUGGUUUAAAUUAUCAGAGAGGGAACCUGUGAACCCAUUUCUUCAUUCUUUCCUCCUUUGUUGAUAUUGAAUUUGCCAUGUAGCUCGGGAUGACCUUAAACUCUUGAUCCUCCUGCCUCAACCUUCUUAUUGCCACUAUACCCAAGUGAUUCGGUGCCGAGGAUCUAACCCAGAGCUGUGUGUAUACUAGGUGUUUUGUCUGCAUGUAUGUCAGUGCUCCACAGGCAUGCUUGGUGCCUACGGAGGCCAGAAGAGGACAUCAGGUCCCCUGUGAGUUACAGAUAGCUGCGAGCUGCCACGUGGGUACUUAGAAUUGAACUCAGGUUCCCUGGAAGAACAGCCAAUGCUGUUGACUUGGUCUUGCCUCACCACCUGUCUUUCCUCAGUCCAUGAGUGUUGCCUUAGCAAAACUCCACGUGCGUCUUUAUCUGACAUCGUUCUAUCGGUCAGAGUCUUUGGAAGAGGCAAGAAGCCGCAGGAAUCUCUCCAUUUAUUUCUCUCUAUGAGUCUUGACCAUUGGAGCUCAACAACGCAUGUAAAGUGAACCAAUACAUGUGUGUCAUUAUCGAAGAAUCCUUCAUCAUGUGUCCUUUCAUGUGCUUGCUUUAGCAAAACAUUCUUCCACCUGUGUCUGCUUCAGCGAAACGUUCCUUCACAUGUCUGACUCCACCCAACACAACUGACUUUCCAAAGAACUGUUAAGUUUCCACUUCCCAGGGUGGGGGUACAUGCAUGAUGUGUAUGGAGGUCAAAGGACAACUUGUGGGAGUUGGUUCCGUCUUUUCACAGUGUAAGCUAAGGAAGCGCCGGUCAUCGGUCAUUGGCUUGGCAGCAAACACACUGAGAUAGCUCUUUCUAGCCCAACCCUCAGCUUUUCUUUCCUCCUCCCCUUCCUUCCUCCUCCUCCUCCUCUCUUCUUUGUCUUCUCCUUUCUCCCAUCUCAGGCUUGGAGAUAGAAGUUUCUGAUCUGGAUCUUGGUAUGGAGAUCUUAAGGCUUAGUGGCUAUGGAUUCCAGAAGAUUAAAUCUCCGAGUUCAAGGUCAUCUGGAUUGAAAGGUGUGGUGGAGCACACCUUUAAUCUGGGCUACACCUUCUGCUGGAGACAAUAUAAGGACAUUGGAAGAAGGGAGUCUUGCUCUUGCUCCUUCCCCUGCUUGCCGUGUGAGAUUGAGUAACUGCUAGAUCCUUGGACUUCCAUUAACAGCUACUACUGAACCAUUGUUGGGAAUUGGGCUGCCGACUGUAAGUCAUCAAUAAACUCCUUUACUAUAUAGAGACUACCCAUAAGUUCUGUGACUCUAGAGAACCCUGACUAAUACAGAUGGACUCUCAGUAUCUCACCUAUAGAGUUUAGGUUUUCCUCAACUCAUCCUGCCUCAGCCACUUAAAUGCUGAGAUUAUAGGUUUGAGCCACGAUCCGAUUCCAGGUGCCAGGAAGGAUUUUCUAAUAGACAUUAUAGUAGACCUAGCUUAGUUUUCUUAACUCCAUAUGGACAGCUUGUUUGAAUAUCCUAUUAAACACACACACACACACACACACACACACACACACACACACACACAAAGAGAGUACAGGCACUUGCUGCCAACCCCCCCCCCACACACACACACAGAGUACAGGCACUUGCUGCCAA